CCUACGGGUGGCAGCAGUAGGGAAUCUUCCACAAUGGGCGAAAGCCUGAUGGAGCAACGCCGCGUGAGUGAAGAAGGUCUUCGGAUCGUAAAACCCUGUUGUUAGAGAAGUAAGUGCGUGAGAGUAACUGUUCACGUUUCGACGGUAUCUAACCAGAAAGCCACGGCUAACUACGUGCCAGCCGCCGCGGUAAUACGUAGGAGGCAAGCGUUAUCCGGAUUUAUUGGGCGUAAAGGGAACGCAGGCGGUCUUUUAAGUCUGAUGUGAAAGACUUCGGCUUAACCGGAGGAGUGCAUUUGAAACUGGGAGACUUGAGUGCAGAAGAGGAGAGGGGAACUCCAGGUGUAGCGGUGAAAUGCGUAGAUAUAUGGAAGAACACCAGUGGCGAAAGCGGCUCUCUGGUCUGUAACUGACGCUGAGGUUCGAAAGCGUGGGUAGCAAACAGGAUUAGAUACCCUUGUAGUC
rnacentral:rRNA from 1 species